AUUGAACGCUGGCGGCAGGCCUAACACAUGCAAGUCGAGCGGGGUUUUCGGACCUAGCGGCGGACGGGUGAGUAAUGCGUAGGAAGCUACCCGAUAGAGGGGGAUACCAGUUGGAAACGACUGUUAAUACCGCAUAAUGUCUACGGACCAAAGUGUGGGACCUUCGGGCCACAUGCUAUCGGAUGCGCCUACGUGGGAUUAGCUAGUUGGUGGGGUAAAGGCCUACCAAGGCAACGAUCCAUAGCUGGUCUGAGAGAACGACCAGCCACACUGGGACUGGGACACGGCCCAGACUCCUACGGGAGGCAGCAGUGGGGAAUAUUGGACAAUGGGCGAAAGCCUGAUCCAGCAAUGCCGCGUGUGUGAAGAAGGCCUUCGGGUUGUAAAGCACUUUCGUUGGGGAAGAAAAAGCCAAAGAUAAUACCUUUGGAAAUUGACGUUACCCAAAGAAGAAGCACUGGCUAACUCUGUGCCAGCAGCCGCCGUAACAC
rnacentral:rRNA from 1 species